CGCGGCCUAUCAGCUUGUUGGUGGGGCAACGGCCUACCAAGGCAUCGACGGGUAGCUGGUCUGAGAGGAUGAUCAGCCACACUGGGACUGAGACACGGCCCAGACUCCUACGGGAGGCAGCAGUAGGGAAUCUUGCGCAAUGGGCGAAAGCCUGACGCAGCAACGCCGCGUGCAGGAAGAAGGCUCUCGGGUUGUAAACCGCUUUCAGUAGGAACGAAAAUGACGGUACCUGCAGAAGAAGGUGCGGCCAACUACGUGCCAGCAGCCGCGGUGACACGUAGGCACCAAACGUUGUCCGGAAUUAUUGGGCGUAAAGAGCCUGUAGGCGGUUUGUUGCGUCGGAAGUGAAAACUCAGGGCUCAACCCUGAGCGUGCUUUCGAUACGGGCAGACUUGAGGAAUGCAGGGGAGAAUGGAAUUCCUGGUGGAGCGGUGGAAUGCGCAGAUAUCAGGGGGAACACCGGUGGCGAAGGCGGUUCUCUGGGCAUUUCCUGACGCUGAGAAGCGAAAGCGUGGGGAGCAAACAGGCUUAGAUACCCUGGUAGUCCACGCCGUAAACGGUGGGUACUAGGUGUGGGGGACUUCCACGUUCUCCGUGCCGCAGCUAACGCAUUAAGUACCCCGCCUGGGGAGUACGG
rnacentral:rRNA from 1 species